GUGAACGCCCUCACGGGCUUAUACUAUUCCAAACCUCUGUGAACCGCGCCCUUCGGGGCUAUUUUAUAAACAUGGUGUAAUGAACGUCAUAUAUCAUAACAAAACA
rnacentral:misc_RNA from 1 species